ensembl:lncRNA
CCGCAUUCCUCGGUGUAGGGGACAGGAUUGGCUUUCUGGCCCUCAUGGAAGUGCCUGGUCUCCUCUCCAGGCCCUCACCUGCCCUUCCUGCAGCCGGGGUCUAGCCGGGGUGUCACUUCCUCCAAAGAACCAUCCUGAUGCUUCCUCCAAAUCUGGGUUCAGAGUCCUCCUCCCCGCAUCCCAGACUUGGGAUUUUCCCUUACUGGAGCACCUUCUGCUGAGCGACAGCCCAUCCUCAUCCGUAUCCCACACUUCAACAGGGCUUAGACUCUCUGGC